rnacentral:rRNA from 1 species
GACGUAGGGCGCGAGCGUUGUCCGGAUUUAUUGGGCGUAAAGAGCUCGUAGGCGGCUUGUCGCGUCGUUCGUGAAAACCCGGGGCUCAACUCCGGGCUUGCGGGCGAUACGGGCAGGCUAGAGUUCAGUAGGGGAGACUGGAAUUCCUGGUGUAGCGGUGAAAUGCGCAGAUAUCAGGAGGAACACCGGUGGCGAAGGCGGGUCUCUGGGCCGAUACUGACGCUGAGGAGCGAAAGCGUGGGGAGCGAACAGG